CGUCACCAUAGUAAAGAACAGGGGUUCCAGGCAAGAGCAUUGUCAGCAUGGCAAAGGAGCGAAUAAAGCUUUCAUUGUGAUUGGAUGCAAAUCUCUCUGUUGUUUCAUCACCAAACUGAAAAUAGUAAAAACAAUAUUAGCAAUGACUUACCAGCCAGGUUGGCCAGCGACCAGAGGGUAGAUUGUUCAUCCAAUCACUGACGUAUUUGCCGAUACAUUUACCACCACAGUUUGAGGGAAACGAUCUUUUUCUGAUGGGCAGCUGAACACCAUCUCUUUGGAAAUGGCCAUAAUAUUUCACCAUAUCUUUAACACUGGAUGUGGGGUCUGGAUCUGCCAUGAGAACUCUGUAAUGGAUACCAGAAAAAUGUCGGGAUCAGUGUUAUGAAUUCAUAAAAUCAAAACAAAACGCCGACUGUCUGAACAUUGUAUAUAUAUGUACUGUGAUGUGAGUUAGAUUGGUACAUAGUAAAUGUAUGCUUGAUUUUA